UUGAAACAGGUGACAAAGCGGAAGGACCCGCAGCUGAAAUAUCCCAUUAGACCCAAAGCGCGCGGAUCCUUCCCUUGGGUCGGGUCACCGCGCGGGUCGCAGGCCCUUAAACGGCGCCGUAUUAUGAAAACAUUUUAAAACUAAAAAACCCUAAAUCUAAGACUUUCAUUCGGAUUUGCAGAAGAAGGGAGAGCACAGCCUCCAUCUUCCCUUGUUCUGCCGCUUCACCUUCCCUUCUGCCCGUUCAACUCUGUUUUGCUCAGAGGGAGGGCUUCAUCGGCGCUGACAAGAAGGUACGACGUACGGCGCGGAACGUGGCAUGUACAGAGGCGUGGAUGUGGCACGUACGAUGGGAGAGGCAUGCGUGGCAGCGGUGCAGGAGGCUCUGUUUGCUGCUAGGGUUUUCGAUGUUUGGGGAGGCAUUUUUGGGCUGAGUUGGUUUUUGGGCUAGGUGUAAUUAGGUUUAGGUUUUAAUUCGGUUUGGUGUAAUUUUGGGCCUUUAAUUUUUGGUUUGUAACUGGACAUUUUUGGACAUUUAAUUAUUUUUGGUUUUCAUUAUUUAUAUUAUUAUUAUUUUUAUA